ACACCACCAUCUCCUCAUAAAGCUUCAUCUUCUGAUUAAGAGGAGUCUGGGUGAUCCAAAGAAAGGAGUUUGGAUCAACCAUCUAGAGCCUUCGACGUGAGCUAGCACUCCUGAGAAAGAUGAUCCGAUCAGGGGCUUCAAGUGGAUGAUCUGUAGAGAUCAGACGAUCUGUGCGACUGCUUGGUAUUAGUGAGAGCUUCGUAGCAUACCUACGAGUAGUGAAGAUCAUCGACCCAUAAUAAGAUGAUGAGUUUUGAACUCAAUCGAUGUGAUCUAAAGGUGAGAUCUGAUUCAGGAUAUCAUUGUGAUC
rnacentral:lncRNA from 1 species